rnacentral:rRNA from 1 species
GGGUGCGAUCAUACCAACAUUAAUGCACCGGAUCCCAUCAGAACUUCGCAGUUAAGCACGCUUGGGCUAGAGUAGUACUGGGAUGGGUGACCUCCCCGGAACUCCUAGUGUUGCACCCU